UACGGAGGUGGCGAGCGUUACUCGGAUUCAUUGGGUGUAAAGGGCAGGUAGGCGUCCCGUCAAGUUGGGAGUGAAAUCCUGAGGCUCAACCUCAGAACUGCUUCCAAAACUGUCGGGAUUGAGGCUGGGAGAGGAGAGCGGAAUUCCCGGUGUAAGGGUGAAAUCUGUAGAUAUCGGGAGGAACACCAGUGGCGAAGGCGGCUCUCUAGCCUAGUCCUGACGCUGAGCUGCGAAAGCUAGGGGAG
rnacentral:rRNA from 1 species